AACGUAGGGGACAAGCGUUAUCCGGAUUUACUGGGCGUAAAGCGCCCGUAGGCGGCCUGACAAGUUGGACGUGAAAGCUCCUGGCUUAACUGGGAGAGGCCGUUCAAAACUGUCAAGCUAGAGUCUGGAAGAGGAGAGCGGAAUUCCCGGUGUAGUGGUGGAAUGCGUAGAGAUCGGGAGGAACACCAGUGGCGAAAGCGGCUCUCUGGGCCGUAACUGACGCUGAGGAGCGAAAGCAUGGGUAGCAAACAGG
rnacentral:rRNA from 1 species